CCUACGGGAGGCAGCAGUGGGGAAUAUUGCACAAUGGGCGAAAGCCUGAUGCAGCAACGCCGCGUGAGUGAAGAAGUAUCUCGGUAUGUAAAGCUCUAUCAGCAGGGAAGAAAAUGACGGUACCUGACUAAGAAGCCCCGGCUAACUACGUGCCAGCAGCCGCGGUAAUACGUAGGGGGCAAGCGUUAUCCGGAUUUACUGGGUGUAAAGGGAGCGCAGACGGCACUGCAAGUCUGAAGUGAAAGCCCGGGGCUCAACCCCGGGACUGCUUUGGAAACUGUAGAGCUAGAGUGCUGGAGAGGCAAGCGGAAUUCCUAGUGUAGCGGUGAAAUGCGUAGAUAUUAGGAAGAACACCAGUGGCGAAGGCGGCUUGCUGGACAGUAACUGACGUUCAGGCUCGAAAGCGUGGGGAGCAAACAGGAUUAGAUACCCCAGUAGU
rnacentral:rRNA from 1 species